rnacentral:rRNA from 1 species
UUUGCGGAGAGUUUGAUCCUGGCUCAGAACGAACGCUGGCGGCGUGCUUAAUACAUGCAAGUCGAACGAGAAAAUCCGGCUUCGGUUGGAUGAGUAAAGUGGCGAACGGGUGAGUAACACGUGGACAAUCUGCCCUUGAAUCCGGGAUAAUCCCUCGAAAGGGGGUCUAAUACCGGAUAACACCGCUGGGGGGCAUCCCCCGGUGGUCAAAGGCGGGGCAACCUGUCGUUUGAGGAUGAGUCCGCGGUCCAUUAGCUUGUUGGCGGGGUAACUGCCCACCAAGGCUGCGAUGGAUAGCCGACCUGAGAGGGUGACCGGCCACACUGGGACUGAGAUACGGCCCAGACUCCUACGGGAGGCAGCAGUAGGGAAUAUUGCGCAAUGGACGCAAGUCUGACGCAGCAACGCCGCGUGGGUGAUGAAGCUUCUUGGAGUGUAAAACCCUGUCAGUGGGGAAGAAACGAACGGGUAGUCACUGACCUGUUCCUGACGGUACCCACAGAGGAAGUCCCGGCUAACUCCGUGCCAGCAGCCGCGGUAAUACGGGGGGGACGAGCGUUGUUCGGAUUCACUGGGCGUAAAGGGCGCGUAGGCGGGCCUUCAAGUCGGGUGUGAAAACCGGCAGCUUAACUGCCGGCCUGCAUUCGAUACUGUCGGUCUUGAGUACAGGAGGGGAAAGUGGAAUUCCAGGUGUAGCGGUGGAAUGCGUAGAUAUCUGGAAGAACACCGGUAGCGAAGGCGACUUUCUGGCCUGAUACUGACGCUAAAGCGCGAAGGCUAGGGGAGCAAACAGGAUUAGAUACCCUGGUAGUCCUAGCGGUAAACGAUGGGCACUAGGUGUCGGGGGUAUCGACCCCCUCGGUGCCGCAGCUAACGCAUUAAGUGCCCCGCCUGGGGAGUACGGUCGCAAGAUUGAAACUCAAAGGAAUUGACGGGGGCCCGCACAAGCGGUGGAGUAUGUGGUUUAAUUCGAGGCAACGCGAAGAACCUUACCUGGGUUUGACAUGCUUGGGAAAGUCGGUGAAAGUCGACCGCCCCUUCGGGGGUCCUUGCACAGGUGCUGCAUGGCUGUCGUCAGCUCGUGCCGUGAGGUGUUGGGUUAAGUCCCGCAACGAGCGCAACCCCUGUCCAUAGUUGCCAUCAGGUUAUGCUGGGGACUCUAUGGAGACUGCCGGUGAUAAGCUGGAGGAAGGUGGGGAUGACGUCAAGUCCUCAUGGCCCUUAUACCCAGGGCUACACACGUACUACAAUGGCCGGUACAGAAGGUUGCAAGACCGCGAGGUGGAGCUAAUCCCCAAAACCGGCCUCAGUUCGGAUUGGAGUCUGCAACUCGACUCCAUGAAGGCGGAAUCGCUAGUAAUCGCUGAUCAGCAGGCAGCGGUGAAUACGUUCCCGGGCCUUGUACACACCGCCCGUCAAGCCACGGAAGUUGGGAGCACCCGAAGUCGUUUGCCUAACCGCAAGGAGGGCGGCGCCUAAGGUGAUACUGGCGACUGGGGCUAAGUCGUAACAAGGUAGCCGUAGCGGAAGCUGUGGCUGGAUCACCUCCUUU